GAGCUUCUGAUGAUUCAGGUAUGAAAGGAUCUUAGCGGAUUUCCGUGAGGCGAUUCUGUCACCGUUGAUCGCCUACUAUUGUUACAAACACUGAAGCUU
rnacentral:snoRNA from 1 species